CCGUGCUAGACGGGGAGUUAGCGGUGCCCUGCACCCGAAAGCCGCUUAGCGGGGUUGAAUUCCUACCUUGAGGAUUAAGCCUGACACCUCUAGUUUGGGAACGGAUAUUGAGAGCUUGGCCCUGCGCGGCAAAGUCCUGUGAACCGCGUCAGAUCUGGAAAGAAGCAGCGCUAAACAGUGCCUUUGAGUGCCGCAGUGAAGCCUGGCUUGAGUUCGAACCCUAUAGCUAUGUGGAAGUUACUGAUUCGAAUGGCAGGUGCACGG
rnacentral:SRP_RNA from 1 species